UACGGGGGGGGCAAGCGUUGUUCGGAAUUACUGGGCGUAAAGGGCUCGUAGGCGGCCAACUAAGUCAGACGUGAAAUCCCUCGGCUUAACCGGGGAACUGCGUCUGAUACUGGAUGGCUUGAGUUCGGGAGAGGGAUGUGGAAUUCCAGGUGUAGCGGUGAAAUGCGUAGAUAUCUGGAGGAACACCGGUGGCGAAGGCGGCAUCCUGGACCGACACUGACGCUGAGGAGCGAAAGCCAGGGGAGCAAACGGG
rnacentral:rRNA from 1 species